ACCUCGUUAAUAUUNAGUCGGUAGAACGGCGGACUGUUAAUCCGUAUGUCACUGGUUCGAGUCCAGUCAGAGGAGCCA
rnacentral:tRNA from 1 species